rnacentral:lncRNA from 1 species
GAAAGAAAGAGAGAAAGAGAGAAUUAGAGAGAGCAUAUUUAAAUUCACACAGGACACCGGAUAAGACAAGAGAAAUACUCCAGAUGUAACAGACUGACCCUAGCCCCCCGACACUUAAACUACUGCAGCAUAAAUACUGGAGGCUGAGACAGGAGGGAUCAGAAGACACUGUGGCCCCAUCCGAUGAUACCCCCGGACAGGGCCAAACAGGCAGGAUAUAACCCCACCCACUUUGCCAAAGCACAGCCCCCACACCACUAGAGGGAUGUCUCCAACCACCAACUUACCGUCCUAAGACAAGGCCGAGUAUAGCCCACAACGAUCUCCGCCAUGGCACAACCCAAGGGGGGGCGCCAACCCAGACAGGAAGACCACGUCAGUGACUCAACCCACUCAAGUGACGCACCCCUCCCAUGGACGGCAUGGAAGAACACCAGUAAGCCAGUGACUCAGCC